AUUGAACGCUGGCGGCAGGCUUAACACAUGCAAGUCGAGCGGGGGAAGGUAGCUUGCUACCGGACCUAGCGGCGGACGGGUGAGUAAUGCUUAGGAAUCUGCCUAUUAGUGGGGGACAACAUCUCGAAAGGGAUGCUAAUACCGCAUACGUCCUACGGGAGAAAGCAGGGGAUCUUCGGACCUUGCGCUAAUAGAUGAGCCUAAGUCGGAUUAGCUAGGUGGUGGGGUAAAGGCCUACCAAGGCGACGAUCUGUAGCGGGUCUGAGAGGAUGAUCCGCCACACCGGGACGGAGACACGGCCCAGACUCCAACGGGAGGAAGCAGUGGGGAAUAUUGGAGAAUGGGGGGAACCCUGAUCCAGCCAUGCCGCGGGUGUGAAGAAGGCCUUAUGGUUGUAAAGCACUUUAAGCGAGGAGGAGGCUACUCUAGUUAAUACCUAGGGAUAGUGGACGUUACUCGCAGAAUAAGCACCGGCUAACUCUGUGCCAGCAGCCGCCGUAA
rnacentral:rRNA from 1 species